rnacentral:rRNA from 1 species
UACGGGGGGAGCAAGCGUUGUUCGGAUUUACUGGGCGUAAAGGGCGCGUAGGCGGCCACCGCAAGUCGGUUGUGAAAUCUCCGGGCUUAACCCGGAAAGGUCAAUCGAUACUGCGGGGCUAGAGUGCAGAAGGGGCAACUGGAAUUCUCGGUGUAGCGGUGAAAUGCGUAGAUAUCGAGAGGAACACCUGCGGCGAAGGCGGGUUGCUGGGCCGACACUGACGCUGAGGCGCGAAAGCCAGGGGAGCGAACGGG